AGCUAGAAGAUGAAGAGAUACAUUUGGCAGUAAGAGAUAUUUUGCAAAGGAAUUCUGGGGAUUUUUGUUUUGGGGUUUUCUUUUCCUUUUUUAGAAGAACAGGUUUAAUAAAGAUGAUUUAAGUGUAGGGAAAUAUAUUAUUCAGACCCACACUCCAUUUCAGAAGAUGGCGGUAAUGCAACCAGACGCUGUUUGCCAACCGCCAUAAAAACAAGAAGAAGAAGACGAUGGCAAGCCAACUGAAAAAAACGUUCAAUUUGCAUCAGUGCCCUCCCAUUGAAAACGACGGAGUCUGUUCGUCCUUUUCUUUCACUGUCUAUGAUUUUACCCCGAACGCUUACCAUGGAAACGAGCCUUGUGGAUACUAGCUGGCACUCUAUCGGUAGCCUGAAAGUUGCCCAACACUCACAUUAACGACGGGACAUCCCUACAGCUUUUAAAACGUUUGAGCUCUGGGUAGGACACAAGAGUACCCCCUGCUUGUUUAUUAACGAGGAUGGGAUCUGUCAGGACCUCAUUGAGCUGAAACACUUGAGCUCACAACCCCCUUCUACCCUCCUUUGUGAAGGUCCUGCAGGCUGAGCUCUGCUCAUGACCACCUGAGGACCAUCAGAUGUGGAGUUCCUGCCCAUAAUCCUUUGUCAUGCGAUUUCGCAUUCCCUGCAGCUGGUUGGCUACGUUGAAAGCCCAAUGGGCCAACUAGAAGAGUCCUUGUAUCAGCGCCUGUGAUAAAAAAGAAAACCCUGGACUGGAUCAUGACUCUAAGACUGAAGCACACGCAUCAACUUUCAGGGAAGAAACUAAUCUACAA